UCAAUGACAUUAAAUAGCCGCAAAUCGUGCUAAGGUAGCAUAAUCACUCGCCUUUUAAUUCAAGGAUAGAAUGAAAGAUUAUACACUUAAACUUCUUUAUUAAGAGUAUACAUUUAAAUUUUACUAAAUAUAAAAAUAUAUUUAUAUAUAAAAUAGACGAUAAGACCCUAUUGAACUUUACUUAAGUUUAGUUGGGGAAACUAAUUAAUAACAAUUUUAAUUUAAAUUAAUUAAUAAAAAUCUAUUUAAUAAAUAUACAAGCUACCAUAGGGAUAACAGCGUAAUAUUAUUUUAAAGCCCUUAUUUAAAAUAAAUCUUACGACCUCGAUGUUGAAUUAUAAUUACUAUUAUAAGCAAAAAUAUACAAAGUAGUCGUCGA
rnacentral:rRNA from 1 species